rnacentral:lncRNA from 1 species
CCCCACAAACGUUCUCUUCGUAUUUUUCCUUCAACCACUUUGAGACUGCAAAACUGCAGAAAGCAAAACUUCGCAGAGAAUGAUGCUUUUCCUGCAUAAUGAAUUCAAACUAAAUCACCUGUAAGAAAAAGAAUUGGAAAUAAUGAUAUAACAAAGAGGGUAUAUUACUUGUGUCCAACAUAUUUUAGAGUGAACAUGGGAAGUAUACAAUAGCCAUGACACAAAUAUCAUAUUCAAUUGUGAAGUUAGCAUCCUUCAAAUAUGAAAAUAGAGUUUACCUUUGGCCACUAUAACACAUGCUAUUCGAUUUUGACAAUCGUGAUUCAUGGCCUUUGCAAGACUUUCUUUCUAGUUCUACCCUUGUACUCAACUCAGCCAACUUUUGUUGACUUCUUCCUGUCCAACACUCGAGUUUCUGAAAAUUUGAUUCAAGUGGACAUCAACCAUAUAUUUUCUUUUUCAUUUUUAUUUCAAUAUCUUGAGAAAUUGAAAUAUGAGGAUGCCUUCUCUUUUGAGAAGGCAAGGAUCAAGAUUAACAGUUAUUACCUGCCAAAAUUUUGCAGCAAUGUUUCUUUUUCUUCUUUUUCUAAGUUCCAUUUUUUCUGGUGCAACAG